rnacentral:rRNA from 1 species
GUGGGGAAUAUUGGACAAUGGGGGAAACCCUGAUCCAGCAAUGCCGCGUGAGUGAUGAAGGCCUUCGGGUUGUAAAGUUCUUUUGGAGGGGACGAUGAUGACGGUACCCUCAGAAUAAGCUCCGGCUAACUUCGUGCCAGCAGCCGCGGUAAUACGAAGGGAGCUAGCGUUGUUCGGAAUUACUGGGCGUAAAGGGCGCGUAGGCGGUUUGGUUAGUCAGAUGUGAAAGCCCAGGGCUUAACCCUGGAACUGCGUUUGAUACUGCCAAGCUUGAAUUCGGGAGAGGUGAGUGGAAUUCCCAGUGUAGAGGUGAAAUUCGUAGAUAUUGGGAAGAACACCGGUGGCGAAGGCGGCUCACUGGACCGACAUUGACGCUGAGGCGCGAAAGCGUGGGGAGCAAACAGGAUUAGAAACCCGGGUAGUCC